rnacentral:rRNA from 1 species
UACAGAGGUCUCAAGCGUUGUUCGGAUUUAUUGGGCGUAAAGAGCGUGUAGGCGGCCAGGUAGGUCUGCUGUGAAAACUCGAGGCUCAACCUCGAGCUGUCGGCGGAAACCAUCUGGCUAGAGUCCGGAAGAGGAGAGUGGAAUUCCUGGUGUAGCGGUGAAAUGCGCAGAUAUCAGGAAGAACACCUAUGGCGAAGGCAGCUCUCUGGGACGGUACUGACGCUGAGACGCGAAAGCGUGGGGAGCGAACAGG